rnacentral:rRNA from 1 species
AGAGUUUGAUCAUGGCUCAGGAUGAACGCUGGCGGCGUGCUUAACACAUGCAAGUCGAACGAUGAAGCCUAGCUUGCUAGGUGGAUUAGUGGCGAACGGGUGAGUAACACGUGAGCAACCUGCCCCGAACUUUGGGAUAAGCGCUGGAAACGGCGUCUAAUACCGAAUACGCACCAUGGCGGCAUCGUCAGUGGUGGGAAAGAUUUUUCGGUUCGGGAGGGGCUCGCGGCCUAUCAGCUUGUUGGUGAGGUAAUGGCUCACCAAGGCGUCGACGGGUAGCCGGCCUGAGAGGGUGACCGGCCACACUGGGACUGAGACACGGCCCAGACUCCUACGGGAGGCAGCAGUGGGGAAUAUUGCACAAUGGGCGCAAGCCUGAUGCAGCAACGCCGCGUGAGGGAUGACGGCCUUCGGGUUGUAAACCUCUUUUAGUAGGGAAGAAGCGAAAGUGACGGUACCUGCAGAAAAAGCACCGGCUAACUACGUGCCAGCAGCCGCGGUAAUACGUAGGGUGCAAGCGUUAUCCGGAAUUAUUGGGCGUAAAGAGCUCGUAGGCGGUUUGUCGCGUCUGCUGUGAAAACUAGAGGCUCAACUUCUAGCUUGCAGUGGGUACGGGCAGACUAGAGUGCGGUAGGGGAGAUUGGAAUUCCUGGUGUAGCGGUGGAAUGCGCAGAUAUCAGGAGGAACACCGAUGGCGAAGGCAGAUCUCUGGGCCGUAACUGACGCUGAGGAGCGAAAGAGUGGGGAGCAAACAGGCUUAGAUACCCUGGUAGUCCACUCCGUAAACGUUGGGAACUAGUUGUGGGGGCCUUUCUACGGUCUCCGUGACGCAGCUAACGCAUUAAGUUCCCCGCCUGGGGAGUACGGCCGCAAGGCUAAAACUCCUGAGCCAGGAUCAAACUCU